rfam:Gossypium arboreum cultivar AKA8401 contig_1012_3, whole genome shotgun sequence.
UACUAAAAAAUUCAUCCAUUCGUAUGGUUGAAAACUGGCAUGGCUGACAGAAUAAUCAGAUAAUUACACAUGGCGUGCCACAUGUAUCUCAUGUUAAUGUACAUGUACUAGUUUUUAACAAUAGAAAUAGAUUAAAUUUUUAACA